rnacentral:lncRNA from 10 species
UCAAAAUGUAUCUGUUUCAUGAAUUGAAUAUUUGUAUAUCAAAUUUUCUUAAAUUAGUUACUCUAUUUACUGGAUGGCAAUUAAACUAAUGCAAAAACAUACUCACUUUCUUGCCUUGACGUAGACAGCAACUUGAAAUACUUUAGUGAUGAAACAAAUUGAUGAAAAGUCAAGGAUAGUAGACUCACCAUGCUGUUCUCAAAGAAGCAAAGUCAAUUUUCUAGCAAAGGUGGAGGAAACAUAAGUAACAAUAGCAUAAGAAUAUAUUCUUCUAACAUUCAAUAAUCCUUAAUAACUCUGGGAUUUAGCUGAGUAAAUGACUAUCCAGUCUCACAGCUCUUUAUUGAAGAGAGGCCACCAAGUUUUGAAAUCUGUCCAUUCUUAGUCCUCAUGCAUUGUAUUUUUAGCUGUCUUCUAUGGUGUAUACAGCUGCCUUCCAUGCUCAGUGUCCUUAAAACUCAACCUAGUAAGAACCAUCCAUUGUGGCCCUGUAAAUAUGCUUACAAUAUAUUUUUCUUUCUCUGUAUUAUCUGAAAUUCUGACUUAAAACUAACCAUAGAAUUUAGAAAUUUAAUAUUACUGGCAUUCCUCUUAACUUCAAAACCAUUAUUCUGAUUUUACAAUGUCUGAAAAGACAUUUUAUUUAUACAGUGUUAUCACAUGCCUUUUUUAAUUUGAAUUUUAGAAUCAUGUUAAAUAAGUUCACUGUAGAUAACUGGGGAAAGUAAAGCCCAGGGAAUUUAUGGAAAUUAUCUAAAUUUACCCAUGUGUUUGGUGGUCAAGUUGGGGCUUAAACAAAAACCUCCUCAUCUAGAUAUUUGGAUGAGGCAUCACAUUAUAAAUGCCUUGACCACUGACUUUUUAUUUGGGGAACAUUUUGUCUUCUUUGCCCUUGUAGAAAAUAUAGUUGUCCAAACAUUCAAGUUAAAAUUCAGAAUUAAUACCAUAUUAUCUUUUGUUUUUCUACAAAGUUGUGUUAAGAGAAUUUUUAAAAAGCUGGUUUCUUACUGUUUUCAGAAAAUACACUGUUCAUUUUCACUGGAAGUGUAGAUUUUAUGAUAACCUGUAUGCAUACUGGUAAUAAUAAAAUGUAUUAAAUUAUAUCAAAGCUUCUCAACUGAAAAACAUUAGAGAUGGACAAUGUACAGUUGAACUAAGAUUGGGACAAUGGGACCAAGCCUGGAUACAGUCACACCGUUACUAGGCUGACAGUGAAGACGUCUCUGCAAGUCAAAUUCACCAGUAGCAAAACCGUUAAUUUCCUCUAGAGCUGCACUGUUCAGUAACGUAGCUCCUAUACUCAUACGGCUAUUAAUCACUUGUAAGUGUGACAAGUCUGAAUUAAGAUGUGCUGUAAGUGUGAAACACACACCAGAUUUCUAGGACAGUAUGAAAAUAAUGUAAACUAGCUCAUAAAUAUUUUAUGUUGGCUACAUAUUGAACUGAUAGUAUUUAUGAAGUAUUGAUUUAAAAUAUACUAAGUAAAUGAGUUUGAUGUUUCUUUUUCCUUUUACAAUGUGGCUACUAGAAAACUGAAAAAUACGUAUGUGGCUUGCAUUUGUGCCUUGCAAUACAUUUCUAUUGGACAGUGCUGCUCAGGAACAUUUGUAUUUGUUUCAGUCAGCUCAUGUAUCUCCAUCAUCUGAAUUGCAAAGGUAGAAAAUUCUAUCUUUAAUUACUCAAAAAAGUUUUGUGUAGCUCUAUUAAAGUUUGCAGUCUCUCCUUGAUUCCUAAUCUCCUAAUGGACUCACUGGUAAUAAUUUGCUGUUUUUCCCUGUUUUUCCUUUGCCUUUGCAAAUGUAUUAAUAUAUAAAUAUACAUGCAGCUAUAUAGGUUAUGGUUUUGUUAUCAUUUUUAUCAAGAAUUUCAUCACACUAUACCUAUAACUUAGCAAAUGUUUUUAUCUAACAGUGUAUCACGGAAACCUUUUCUAAAAUAAUUAAAUAUAGUGGAGCCAUUUGAAUCUAUUUAAAUAAAUUCCUUGACUAGUUAUUUUACCUAGUGAAAUAUUAUCGCAUGCUAUUUUUAAAACCAUGAUAGAAGAGCUACUUAUUGGAGAAAACACAAGGUUUUGUUUGUUUCUUUGUUUGUCUUUUGAGACAGAGUCUCUCUCUGUUGCCCAGGCUGGAGUCUAGUGGCACAAUCUCAGCUCACUGCAACCUCUGUCUCCUGGGUUCAAGCAAUUCUCCUGCCUUAGCCUCCUGAGUAGCUGGGAUUACAGGAGCUUGCCACACAUCUGGCUAAUUUUUGUAUUUUUAGUAGAGAGGGGAUUUCACCAUGUUAGCCAGGCUGGUCUUGAACUCCUGACCUCGUGAUCUGCCCGCCUCAGCCUCCCAAAGUGCUGGGAUUACAGGUCUGAGCCACCGCACCCAGCCCACAAGGUUUUUAAGUGAUGAGAAAUGCCUGAUAGACAACAAGGUGUGUCUGAAAGGCAAAUAAGCUCAUUUGUCUCUUUCGUUUACAAUCUUGCAGGGCUGGGUUUCUGGUACCAGCAUCGCUUCUCAGCUUCAUUCUCUCACACACUAUACUUCAGCCAUUCUAAACUUCUUUCAGCUCCUUGCGAGUUAGUAUUGUUCUUUUCUCUAACAUUUGCAAACAUUGUUUUUCCAUGCUUGAGUAAGAAUUGUACC